CACACAGGUGUGCCUGCACACUGCCCUAAGGAGCUCCACAAAAGUCUGCAGCUCAGACUGAAAUUCAUGCUUCUUGGGAUACCUGAUGCACUAACAGAG